ACGAACCGUACAAACGUUAUUCGGAAUUAUUGGGCUUAAAGGGUGCGUAGGCGGCGUGGUAAGUGAGGUGUGAAAGCCCUCGGCUCAACCGAGGAAUUGCGCUUCAUACUGCCACACUCGAGGGAGACAGAGGUAAGCGGAACUGAUGGUGGAGCGGUGAAAUGCGUUGAUAUCAUCAGGAACACCAGUGGCGAAAGCGGCUUACUGGGUCUCUUCUGACGCUGAGGCACGAAAGCUAGGGUAGCGAACGGG
rnacentral:rRNA from 1 species